rnacentral:rRNA from 1 species
CAGCCGCCGCGGUAAUACGUAGGGUGCAAGCGUUAAUCGGAAUUACUGGGCGUAAAGCGUGCGCAGGCGGUUCGCUAAGACAGAUGUGAAAUCCCCGGGCUUAACCUGGGAACUGCAUUUGUGACUGGCGGGCUAGAGUAUGGCAGAGGGGGGUAGAAUUCCACGUGUAGCAGUGAAAUGCGUAGAGAUGUGGAGGAAUACCGAUGGCGAAGGCAGCCCCCUGGGCCAAUACUGACGCUCAUGCACGAAAGCGUGGGGAGCAAAUGGGAUUAGAUACCCGCGUAGUCCCUGUCUCUUAUAC